AUUGAACGCUGGCGGCAGGCCUAACACAUGCAAGUCGGACGAGCGGAGGACGGGUGAGUAAGGUAUGGGGAUGUGACUGAUGGAGGGGGAUAACGACGAGAAAAGGUAGCUAAUACCGCAUAACAUCAGAUGGGCACAUAUGGGAGUAGAUAGUAGGGGAGGUAACGGCUCACCUAGGCGACGAUCCCUAGCUGGGCUGAGAGGAUGAUCAGCCACACUGGGACUGAGACACGGCCCAGACUCCUACGGGAGGCAGCAGUGGGGAAUAUUGCACAAUGGGCGAAAGCCUGAUGCAGCCAUGCCGCGUGUAUGAAGAAGGCCUUCGGGUUGUAAAGUACUUUCAGUCGGGAGGCGUUACCGACAGAAGAAGCACCGGCUAACUCCGUGCCAGCAGCCGCGGUAAUUC
rnacentral:rRNA from 1 species